rnacentral:lncRNA from 1 species
GGGCAUCUCUGCCAUGGGAUUCCUUUAGUAUGGCAAUUACUUAACUAAAGGCUCUUUCAGGAAGACUGGUGGGGCAGCAUCAGUGGACAAGGGGAAGCUGAAGACCCGGAGACAGCUGAACAGACAGAGGAGCCUGUCUGCUCAUCACCUCCCAUCCUUUUAGUCACCAGCCCACCAGUGCCAUAUGUGGUUCCCUCCCACCUGUGACUCCUGUGCUUGGCCCUUAUUCCUCAGCCCUGUGGUCUGCCUGUCUUCUCUUCUCUCUAGCUUCUAGUAUCACCAUUAAGUUUGCCUGGCAGAUUUUACCCUUCCCCCAUCCUGUGGUUUUUCCAGCUGCAAGUUAGGCUAUACACCAUUGCCCUUCCUCAUCUGUUCAGAGUGAGGCCCUCCAAGUCCAGGGUCCCUAAGUCUCAAGGAACCUAAAUGUGGUCUGCACUAUGGGAUUCUUCAGACAGGGCUCCUUUCCAUUACCUGCAGCACCCAUUUCAGGCACUGAUCCCAUGCUCCAACUUUUACUCCUACCAUACUCCAUUCCCUGACUGCAACUCCUCCUGGAGUCACUUGUUUGGUGGUUGGUGGCAAAGACUCUGGCGAAGACCACAUAAGUUCAAAUCUCAGCUUUAGAACUGACCAGCAGGGAGACCUUGGGUAUGCUACUUAGCCCCUGGUCACUCAAUUUCCUUAGCUGUAAAACAGAGAAUUGUGGGUUAAUUCAUGUAAAACAUAUAGAACAGUGGCUGGUACCAAGAAGGGCCCUAUGUGCUGCUGUUACUAUUACUACCAUUCCUUCCCAUGGUCAUCUUCAUACGUUUGUGCCUCUUCUUAAAAGCCAUACAAAUCCCACCCUUAACAUCCCAGGCCUCCACUCCACCUGUUGUACCUUCUGGGCCUUAUUUCCUGAAAGAGUUGACCUUGUUCACUAGCUCACCCUUCACUUCCUUGCCCAGGUCCACCCAGCCCUUGCUAUCAGGAUGAUGCUCUCAUUAAUGGCCAAAGCCAGCAGACAUCUUCAGACUACUCUUCCUGGACUGGACACAGCCUCUGGAACCAUAAGUAGCUGUCUCAGC